rnacentral:rRNA from 1 species
AUGCAGAUGGUCUCCCGCGGUCGCACUACCGUGAACAUCAGUGGGGAGAUUGGCCCUUACUCCCGCACCCUUUGUGGGGUUAGACAAGGCGAUCCUUUCUCCCCAUUCUUGUUCAAUAUGGUGGUGGACGCACUUGCCACCAUCCUGGACAAGGCCAAGGCUGCGGGCCAUAUUCGUGGGAUCACUCCUCAUCUGGCCGAUGGCUUUGGGAUCUCCAUGCUGCUCCAGUACGCCGACGACACCAUCAUCAUGGUCGAAGGCUCGGACGCGGACAUCACUAACCUUAAGUUCCUCCUCCUCUGCUUCCAACAAAUGUCUGGCCUCAAGAUCAACUUCGACAAUGGUGAUGUGAUGGUAAUGGACUACUCUCCGACGGAGGCCCUCGACAUUGCCAACCGCCUCAACUGCCUCCUAGGCUCCUUCCCCACGACUUACUUGGGAACGCCCAUUAGUGACUCUCGGCUUACCAUUGCGGACUUGCGUCCAAUGGUGGCCAAGCUGCAAACGCGCAUUGAGCCAUGGCAGGGUAGGUGGCUGUGGAAGGUGGUUCGGGCGAUUCUCAUCAACUCCUCCCUCUCCAGCCUCCUCUUGUUCCUCAUGAGCUUAUAUAGCCUUCAUGAGACCCUUCACCAUGAGAUCGCCAAAGUCCAAUCUCGCUUCUAUUGGGCUGGCGAUAGCAAUAAGUAG